UCUUCAAUAGUUAGAUGGAGGUGGAGGUAUGAAAGGAAUGGAAGGCAAGCUGCUGCUGGGAAGUGGUGGAAGAAUAGUGAUAAGCUUAGGCUAAGAUGGUGGGAUUGUUGGUAGCUUUGGGAUUCAAGGCAAUAUAGGAGGAAGUGGUGGAAUUGGUACGCUGGGAAGUGGUGGAAGAAUGGGGGUAGGGUUAGGAAGUGGUGGAAUUGGUACUGGUACUCUAGGAAGUGGUGGAAGACUGGGGGUAAGGUUAGGAAGUGGUGGAAUUGGUAAUCUGGGAAGUGGUGGAAUUGGGAAUCCAGGAAGUGGUGGAAGAAUGGGGGGAAGUGGUGGAAUUGGUGGAAUUGGUGGAAUUGGUGGAAUAGUUACUUGCUGAAGAUUUCGAGCUGCUAGGCUAACCUCCAUGCUUGAAAAACCCAACAAAAUGAAACAAGCUAAUAAAAUGAAAACGUUGGAACCUGCCAUUUUUUUUGGAGAGAUGAACUAAAGAUUGAAGAUUUGAGUUGAGGUUUGCAUUGAGGAAAGCAGGAUUGCUUUUCAGGUAUUUAUAGCCACAUUUGAAAGACUUAAUUAAUUAUUUGUUUGAGAUAUUAUUCCCCUACUUAGCAUACUACCUUUUCUCACCCAUCUGUCAUCACCAACAAAAAGAAGAAGAAGAUAAAUUAGACUCAUCCUUAAACUUAAAAAUAUUCUGAAUGAGUCGAUUUGUCUAAUGUUAGUUAAAAAUUAAAUGCUUUUAAAUUUUGUGUGAACUAUAUCUUUCUAUUUCCAUUUACCUAAUGCCAGUUAAAAAAUAAAUAUUUUUUUAUAUAAUGAGUGUAUAUUUGACUUACGUAUGUGGCGCUCUAUUAAAAAAAAAAUUAAAUUAGGUGGAUCAAAUUUAAAUAUUAGAUAACUAUACAUGUUGGUACUUAAACUUGGUAUUUAAGAUUUUUUGUUGUCCAAUUAAAGGUUGAAUUUAAAUUAGAUAGUUGAACUUGAUUUCUUAGUUCAAAUUCCAAGCUUAGAUACCAAAAUGUUUGGUAUAAUAUUAAAUUAAAAAAAUUCAAGAUGUAAAAUACUAAUUUAACAUUUAAACUAGUUGCCCCAUACAGCUACAAUGGUAAUGAUAGAAGAAAAGUAAUUGAAUGGGAUUAGGAGAUGAAGAUCCUAGUAAAGCCACCUCUAGAGGUAUGAGAGUUGCGACCACUCUAUAAUUGAAUGCUACAAAAAUGGUUAUAUCUAGGAAUCUUUCGCCAUUAGCUAAUAAUGGAAAUAGCUAUGUAUCACUUAAAAAACAACAAUUCAUAUUUUCUUGAAAUAUAUUCAAAAAAUUGAAAAAUAUAAAAAAUAUCAUUUUUCUAAAAAUCCAAAAAUUUUAUGUGAAUAUCAACAAAUUCAGAAACUAAAAGAUAUGGAAAGCUUUAAAGUUUUUCCAAAAAGAUAGAAAUUUGCAGAAAAUUAGGUAUUUAAGAUUCCAAUAUUUUUAUUUCCCUUCUUUCCUGAUUGGAGAAAAUAUGAAUUAGGUGACGCCAUCGUUAACAAUUGGGGCAAGGUAAGACACGGUUGGAAACUUCAAGUAGGUGUAAUUUUGGGGAAAUAUUACAUUGUUUAAUAAUGAAUAUUGACAUGAUUUACCCUGAGUUAAAUCAAUUAUAUUUUACUUAUAUUUUCUAUACAAAUUUUAUACAAGCCUAAAUUAAUCAUAUUCAAUCAUAUCAAUCUCAAUAUUUUGAAUAAGAUAAUAAUAUUUUCUUAAAACUAUAACUAUAUAAAGUAUUGUAAAAAUAAUUAUUCAAUUAUACAGCUAUUUUAUUUGUAUAAUUAUAAUUAACAUAACCUUCUCCAUCAUAUAAUUAAAAUUUGUUCAACUUAUAAUUACAACAACUUUCCGUGAAGAAAAGAGAGAGACACAAAUACAAACUAAUGAGAUUAAAUAAAUCUCAAAUAUAAAAUAUUCUUCAAUAAACAUCAUUAAUCAAUCUCAAAAGAAACAAGAAAAGAAAUUCAUAAAUUAAACAAUAAGAAUAUAAUAUAACAAUCCAUUAUUUAAUAAAUUCAAAAAAAAAAAUCACAUUUAUAUUUUAAAUUUUAUUGGUCUAAUUUUAGAUAGGUUUAUAAACUUCAAAUGAUUUAAAAUAUUAGUGUCACGCCCCUAAAUAUAGGAAGGUUCAUUGAAAUGAAUAAAUAAGAAAUGUGUUGACACCAUUUUUUUGAUGAAAACGGGGUUGACUUGGAUUUUGAAAAUGAAAAUUAAAAUGACAGUCGCCACCAAUCCUUUUUGAUAAGGUGUGAUCGGAUCACCUUGAAAAGUGGUUGUUUUUAAUAAACGAUUUAAUUUUAUUAAAACAACGAGUUUGGUCCACGAAAUUCAGAAAAAUGGGUUCGGGAGUCGGUUACGUACGAGGAAGGAUUAGCGCCCUCGUGACGCCCAAAAAUUGGUACCUAGUUGAUUAGUUAAUGUCUUAAUGUCAAAAAUUGUAAACUUUGAAGAAUUUUAAAAAUACGAUCCUUAAUUUUUUUAAAAAGAAAACUUAUAUAAAUCAAGUUACUCGUUAAGACCCUCCCAUUUCAGAAAGAGAAAACGUCACGCCCAAUGCGUUAGGGCACGAUAUUUUACCUCUUCAGAAAUGAGCUUGUCUAAAAACUUACACAAUAAAAUUUUAAAGGGCAUUCAAUUGUUUAAGUCAUGUGAAAAAUUGCAACCCAAUACAUUAGGGCACAAUUUCUCAAAAUAUUAAACAUUGAAUAUUGCAUUUAUUUUGAAAAAUCCUCAUAUCCAAUGCGUUACGGCACAACGUACUGAAUUCUCGAUAAUGAGCUAUUUAUUUAUGUUUUUGUUUUAAAGAGCACCCUCGAUUAUUUAGAUCCAACGAAGAAAAUUGGAACCAAUACGUUAGGGUUCAAUUCUCUCGAAGAUCCCAAAUACCGAGUAUUACUUUUAUUUUGAAAUUUUCCGUUUUUGAUAAAUCCGAGUAAAAAUGGAUGCAAAAUAAUGAUAAUGAUGAUAAUGUAAGUAAAAUAACACGAGCAAAACAAAAUAUAAAUAAAUAAUAAGACUAAUAUAAAUACAAUCGUGCAGGCGCAAUAACAAAUAAGAAACAGAUAAAAACUAAAGCAAGAAAAAUAAUAAUAACAUACAUGUAAAUAAAUAACUGAACAAAAUUAACAAAAUUAAAAAAAAUAUAAAAGAUAUAUUUAUACAUAUAUAUGUAUAAAAUUAUGAAAAUAUUAAAAACAUAUGCAUGUACACAUUUUUGAAGCUAUUAUACAUGAAAAUAUAUGUAAGUAUAUAUGCACAUACAUGAAUACGUAUAGAACCAUCAUCAAAUAUAUAAAAGUAUAUAUAUAUAUAUGUAGGUAUAUAUGAAUCACAAAAUUUAAAGAAUAAUAUAUAUAAGAUAUAUAUUUUGGAAGUAUAAAGAAUAUGUAAGAAUUUAUAUAUACAUACAUUUAUAUAUGAAAAUGAAAUAUAUAGAUAUGUAUGUGGGUAUGUAUAAAUAUUAUAAAAUAUAAAAACAUAUAUGUGUACGCAUAUAUAUAAAAAUAUACAUAUGUAUAUAUACAUAUAUAUUAUGAAAAUAAAGCUAAAAAAAAACUAGUUAGUGUAUUAACAUAAUUGUAACGACUAAAUAAAGGAAAAUAAUAAUAAUAAUAAUAAUAAUAAUAAUAAUAACAUUAAAAUAAUUAACUAAAUAAUAAAAAUUGCUAAAAAAAGAUUAAAUCGAAAUAAAAACGAAAAUACUGGGCAAAUUCGAAAUAAAAAAAACGAAAAGGAUUAAAUUGCUACACGCAUCGAAAGAGGGAGACCAAAACGAUAAAUAAACCAAAGCCCCAAAACGCAGCGCUGCAACGGACUAAAAUGAAACAAAAGGAAAACUAUGUGGCUAAAUUAAAAUAAAAGAAAAUAAUGAAAAAGGGCCAAAUUGCAACUCGUUGCAAAGUCGGAGUGACUACGCGCGCAAAUAUCCCCUUUUAAGAAAACACGCGGAUCCUCCCCCAGGGUCGGGUCACCGAGCGGGUCAGGGCCAAAAUGGCGUCGUUUUGGCACCUGACCCUAAUGACAAAACGGCGCCAUUUCGUUUAGGGUAUUUAAACCUAAUUUUUCCCAAAAAACCUAAUUUCAGCCACCAUUUAAAAAAAAUAAAAAACUUUCUUUUUCUUUCAAAAAUCUGACUUUUGGGGUAAAAUUUUUUACUUUCUCUUGAUAUUUUGCGCGAAUAUGAAUUGUUUUUUUUUAAAAAAAUAUGUAUAAAAAUAAAAAUGAACGGGUAUAAAAAAGAAAAGAGAUGCGAAACUAAAAUCACAUUGGAGUGAAUCUGUUUGUUUUUUUUAAAUCUGUUUUUGUAUUAUUUAAAAGUGUUCUUACAAAAAAUCUAAAAAGGAACCCCCUAAAUUACAGAAAAAUUUGGCUUUUAUAGCCGAUUCUCCCCCCUCAUUCUUUGCUCUGUUGCUUUUCUAUUGCUUGCAGGGACUUGACGCGGUGCAUGUGGGGUGUCGGUGGCAAGUGGGGUGAUGGAACAUCCGACGGUGGCCGUGGCUGCUGGUGAUGCGACUGGUGUGCGGCGGCCAAGAGCUAGGGUUUCAGAAAAGCUGAAACCCUAGUUUGACUGUUGGGGUUGGGAUUUUGGGCCAAUUGGGUUAUUGGGCCUCGAGUUUGGGUUUGUAAUUGGGUUAAUUUAUUUUUUUUGGGUUUUAUGUUUGGGUUUAUUGAAUAUUGGGCUGAGGGUUAGUGGGUUAGGCCUAGGUGGGUUGGUUUGGGUUUUGGGCCCCGGGCUAAAAUUGGGCUUGUACAAAAUGAAUUAGGUUUAAUGGCUAAGUGUUAAAGAAUUCACCUUAGAGACUUAAGUUCGAGUUCCCUUCCUUCCUUUUUAUUUUUGGUAACUUGGUUUUAGGGUAAAGUCACACUCAAAAUAUAUACGACUAGGAAUUAAGAAUAAAUAAGAAAUGGGCAAUAGGUCCAAUGGUUAAGUGUUAAUCCCCUAUCUUAGAGAUCUUAGGUGUAAGUUUCCUUUUUCCCCUCCCAUUUUUCUUUUGGAUUUCGACAAUAAGGGGAAAUUUGCUGUGCCACCCCUAGGGUUUUCAAACCCGAGCUAUUUAAUCAUUCUUUUCCCAUUUGGAUUAGUUUUGCUUCUUUUCAAAUUCUUGUAAAAUUUCUACUCAUAUUAUAUUUCUCUUAUAUUUAUUUUCUUUUCCUUUCUUUUCAUUGUAACACCCUAAACUCGGUCGAAUAGGUUCGACCUAAAUUUGGAGAGCUACAUUAGCCACCGAAGUGACUUUCCAUUAACUCCCAAUCUAACCUCUAACACACCACUUACUUGCAACGUAUAUUAUGAUAAGUUAUAUCAUAACAAGGGUAUAAUAUAAUACAUAUAAUGUAAAUCAUGCAAGCUUAAAACCAAUGUAACACCCCAAACCCGGCUGAGUAGGUUCGACCCAAAUUUGGCGAGUUACAUUAGCCACCGAAGUGACUCUCCAUCAAUUCCCAACCUAACCUCCAACACACCACUUACUUGCAAUGUAUGUUAUGAUAAGUUAUAGCAUAACAGUGAAAUAAUAUCACAUAUAGAAUGUAAAUCAUGCAACCUUAUCAAACAAAAUGAGGGAACGGUUCGCAUGUUAAUUACUACGUAAGGCUACGUAGUAAGGUUAUCGCACCUAAGGGUUCACAAGCAUAUAGGGGGUCACAAACAAACAAAGGUCGCAGAAAAUAACACUUCGCAAAAAAAAUUGGCUCGCGUAUGAUGUUAAUACAUAUUUUGGAAAAAUUGAAAGAAUGCGACAUGGUACUCAUGCUAGGAGAAUUAAAGAAACAUCAAAGUAUAUUCAUGCAGAGAAGAAAUUAGUAAUAAAGGUUUAACUUCAUGGUUCGCAAAAUAUUAAAAGAAUAAACUUAAACUUUAGGGAAAUCGUUUCAUUAACAGAAUCAUAUAAUGAUAAAUCUAAACCUAUAUAAAUAAAACCCCAUCACCUAUUUCCCUAGGUUCGCAUUAUUUGUUCAGAGAUAGCCUCGCUAUUGCCAUUGGCGACUUACUUACCUGCAAAGUAAGAGAAGAGUGGGUGAGUUCAUUGCGAACUCGGUGAAUAAUCCGGAAUCAUCAACGUAUGAUUAAAAUACAGAGUUUAAAAUAGAAAGAAGACUUAGUAUGAAAAACUAUUGUAUCGCGUGUUGGGUUCGCAGUGAAUGCUAGGUUCGCAGUGAAUGUGCGAGACCCAGUUUAUAGAACCUGCUUGUCAUAAAAUCAUAUAAGUUUGAAAAUAGUUUUGCAUGUACUUACUGAAAAUCAUACUUAAAAACUUAGCUUGUUCUUGUUUGAAAAUGGAUCUUUUAUAGAAUGAAACAUGCUCACAUACUUAUCUUAUCGGAAUGGCUGAGGAAUAUAAAAUAUGUUCUUGCACUUUUCUUAACUUACUUAUAUUAUCUUGUCUUAUUUUGUUGGAUAUGUGGAUCUCUUUAUAACGCCUCAGAAUGACUCAAAGAGUCCUUAAGAUGUCCCAUAAGUGUAACAUAAGCUAAACACUCUCUUGUACACCAACAUGUCCUAUUGAAUGGAGCAUAGCUUGGCGUUCCCUUAUCUCUCCACAUGUCCCAAAGCCUCAAUGCCCAAAUCACAAAACUUAUUGGUGAGUACUCACAAUCCUUUGGUAUACAAAUAUAUCCAAUAUAUAAGCUCACAAAGGCACUCGUAUAGAAACUUAGCACAUAGAGCUAGAAAAAACAUAGCUUAUAGAACUGUAUUUUUAAAACAUGCUUUAAAACAUAGGCUUGCAUAGGAGCAUGCGUAACACAUAUCUUUAAAACAUAGCUUAAAACAUAUCUUGAAAACAAAUUAUCAGAACUUUUAAAAACAUAGUUUUAUAGGAAAAAAAACUUACUCUUGGAACUUAGUUUUUAAAAAAAAAAGAUUCUUAGAAAACAUAACAGUUCACACACAAGUUACGAAACCUGAGCAUUCAUACUAAAAAACAUGAUAGUUACCACACUUAUGGCAAUUCUUAACCACUCAUCGAUAAAACUGAAAAUUUAAAUGAGUUUUGCCUUGCCUUUAUCCUUGCUGUAGAUAGUCUGGUUGGUUCGUAACAUGCAUAAACACACAAAUUACUUCAAUAGACAAAACUUACGAACUUCACACAUGCAAGCGAACCUAGCUUUCUGGACAAUAAACCCUAAUAGGAAAAAUGCUUACCUUGGUUGCUACGAAUUUGGUUCAGAACAAAGACUUGACAACAAAAUAACGAUGAAAGAAUUUUUCCUAGAAUAAGGAUUGUAUUUAUAGGCACUAAGUAUCUUAGUGACCUUAGGAUACCCUAUUUGACUUAGGAACCCUCUACGGUUUAAAAGAAGGUUACGUGCACGAAAAGUAUCCUAGAUACACAAUAUAUUUAUUUCCUAAGUUUAGUCUAACUUGACUUUUGAUUGGCGAACCCCUAGUUUGUAACUCAAUUGUUGAACCCCAGCUCACUAAACAGAUUGGAGAACACAACUUUCAAUGAAUCUAGCGAACCUCUUACCACAUCAUUUGGCGUGCAGCAGUUUGCUAGAACACUGGCAAACUCCUUACUGGUAUCCCCUUUGGUGAACCCUAGUUUGCUGAAACACUAGUGAACCCUCACUUGUAAGGUCAAAACUUCUAGAUCAGGUUUCAGGAUGUUACAAACACCAUAUUUUUAUCAUAAUUGUUGUUGAUUAUUUUUCUUUCCUGAAUCAAAUCAUCUUUCAUUAAAUUAUUUUUCUAUUAGUUUUGUAAUUGUCGUCAAUAGCACCUCUAUAUUUGCCAAGAAACAAACCGAAUUUAGGUGAAUCAGACCGAAAUAAAGUGUGAAGAACAUCAACCGGAACUGUGGUGAAAGGUGUGUGUCUUUUCCAAGUGAAUCAGUGGUGAUCUGUGUACGAUUAAGGCCACAUGGGCUAUGCGUGUGGUCCACCAACUACCACACAACCAUGUGCACUUGUAGAUUUUAGGGACUUCAUGAACCAUACGGCCUCAGCCAGUUACACGAUCGUGUCUUUCCUGCAAGGUUUAUCAUUUUCCACAUGGAAUCAUGCUGUUACAUGACCGUCUAACCCUUACACAGGGUCUUACCCUUCUCACAUGGCCUGGCCAUACAGCCGUGUGACCCUGUUUUACAGUUUUGACCAAAAAUUUAUCAUAUGUUCAAUUUAGUCCUCGUUUAUCCCUUGAAUUAUUUUAGAGUUUUCAUUCACUCAAUUAAGUCCUUGAUAUUGUGUUUAUUCUAGAAUCUGUGAUUUAAUGACUAAAUUCCUAUUUUUAUAUUGUAUGAGAUGUGAAUAUUACAUGCCUACUGUCAUUGUAAUACUGAUAAACUAUUAAUGAUAAUAUUGUUACCACCCUAUUGAGUACAUGUUAAGCAUGUCUACUGCUAAUGUUGAACUGAAUACAUGAUAAGCAUGUCUAUUAUUAUUAUUUUUUGUAUUGUUCUAUUACAAAGCAUGCCAUAUUGCAUUGCAUGGGGUGGGACGAUAUGUAUGGAGAAAGGGUGACAGUUUAAUAAUCUGCAACCCAGUGGUGGCUCGUCCACAAACCCAAUGGCAGUUUAUCUGCAAAUGUUUUAACUAAAAAUACUGGUUGUUUAUCCGCAAUUUUUACAACGAAGUGGUAGUUUAUAUACAAAUCAGUGGUGAUUUAUCCACAACUCGGUGUGUAUGGAUGGAUGAGUUCUGGGGAACUCAUAGUGUGGUGUGUAGUGAAGUUGGGUAGGACCUUUUCUGAUAAACUGAAAUUGCAUUGCCAUUCAUAAACAUGUGCAUACAAACCAUGAAUUCUAAAUAUUAUAGUGAAGUGUUGAAUUGGAAAACCGAUAUUGUGAAUUGCUAUACGAUUGUGGUUAUUCUAAGAAUUGUUAUUUCGUAUGCUUUGACCACUAUGUUACACCGAUUUUCUUGUGAUAUGACUCACAUUGAGCUUAAGUUCACCCCCUUUUAAUUUCCAUCUUUAUAGAUAACCCACCAGGUUAGGACAUAGACACAACAUCUGGAAGGUCUUGGCUCAGAUAAAUUUUUUUAUUAAAAGUAUUUUAGACUUAUUAUUAUUUCUAUUAUUUGGAAUUGUAUUGUUUUAUUCAAACUUUGGCACGAGACUUAAGUUUUGAGUUUAUUUGACAUGCAUGAAAUUUAAUUUGAAUAUUAGGAUAUUGAAACAUGGAUUUUAAACUAAUUAUGCAUGAAAUUUUGGUUUCGCCAUCAUUAAAAAUAUUUUGAAUAUCAUUUUUCCGCUACGAUAUUAUGAAAAUAAGAAUUUGAAAAAAGUAAAUGAAUUGGAAAUCAACUUUUACUAAGUAAACUUUAAAAUCCAUUGUUUUUUGGAAACUUUUAUUUUUUAGUGAAAACAUGAUUACACGCAAAGUUUUUCUUCAAUAAUAAGCAAAUGUUUUAAACAACUGUUUUAUAAAAACUCCGAUAGUUGUAGUAGGCCAUUUCGGUAGCCAAUGCAAUCUUUUGAAUUCAGUCUUAACGUUUAGGCCGAGUUGAGGAAGUUACUAUUAGCAACUUAACAUUAAUUUGAACAUUAAAUGUUGGUCCAAACUUGACACGAAAUAUAUUUAGAAUACAUAAAUCAAAAAAUUAGUAAGUUGGCUACUUGGGUUAAUUUAUUGGUUUGACACAACAUAUCCUAUAGUAAUUCAAUGGGAUUAGAACAUCCCAACUCCUAGUUGAUUUAAUUGCUAGGUUAUCUAAGUCCACGCUUGCAAUUAUUGCUUAAAGCAUUUGUUUAAUAAAAUCUUAAAUUCCAAUGGAGGUGCUUUUUCAUAAUAUGAGGUAACCUAAGAAAAAGGAAAAAGUUGAACAUAUUGUUAAGUUAAAAUUGAACAAAUUAAGGCAAAGUGUACAAAUGGAGUGUCAUCAUUCAAAUCGGUCCUUCUCUUAAUUGUCAUAAGCCAAUUAGGUAAGCCAGAUUCUUUUAAUAAAAAGUAAAGAUUUCAUGGCAUCCCUAAAGCAUUGCAAAUUUUUUGUAAGCAUUAAAAUGGCAUUAGUUGGUACAAUACUGGUAUUGAUCUGUAUAUAUUGCUUCGGUUUUGAUCAGUACCAAAUAGUUUAUAUUUCGUUCAAUCAAAAUUUUGUUAUGUUUGAUUAUUUCGGUGUGUUUCGACCUAUUUUGGUCAAUAUCGGCUUGUACUAGCUAGUAUAAAAUUUGAUAUUUUAAACUAAAUUUUAAAAUUUUUUAAUCUUAAUUAUUUUAAUUUUGGCUAAAGGGUCUUCAAAGCCCUUGAACAUUAAAAUUUCAAUCAAUUAAGCCCAUCACACAUUAAAGUUAACGAUCAACCAUGAAAGAGCAACAAUAGCCAUUAUGAGCAAUUGUUUUCACCACGUGGCAUGUUAGACUGUACCACGUGACGAAAUAUGGUGUUUUAAAUUUAAAACCAUUAAAACUAUAGAAAAUCAUAAAAUAUUAAAAAAUUACAAAAGUUAUAAAAUUAUAUAAAAAUGAACAAAAUUAUAAAAAGUAGUAUAAAUGAUACAAAAAUUAUAUAAAUUAUUAAAAAAUUGCAAAAAGAAAACAUUAAAAAUAAGCUUAAAAUAAGAAUAUAUAAAAAAAUGUAAAAAAAAAAAAUUAGAAACUAAGUUUCGGAUACACAGCUCUGGCUGUAUUUUUCAUAAAUAAAAGCUUGGUUGAGAUUUUAGAUUUGGUAUAAAUACAAUAAAUAUAAUAUUUAUAGUAGUAAACAAGUGAAUGAAAUUAAGUAAUUGUGAUUGAGAUUCACCAUGAUUAUAUUUAUAGGAAUAAAAUAUUCCUAUAUAUAAUGAAAGUGUAAUUGAAUAAUAAAAUUCAUAUUAAUACAAGUUGCUUUAAAACAAAAGUAAAUAAUUUGAUAUUGAUCUUGUGAAACAAUUGAAUUUUGGUUUUGUUAUGGGAUUAAAUUAGCAAUUAAUCCUUUUUAAGAAUUUAGAGAACGAAUUAGAUAAGUUAGACAUAAAAGUAGAAGAGUAAAAAGAAAGGAAGUAGUGGGUAGAUUAACAUAAUUAGGAGUUUAAAUGAUAUGAUAAUAAUUAAAGCUUUAAUUUAGUUAAGGUAAUUAGAAAUGUUUGAUCAUAUUUUAGAUGUUAAUUGAAAUUAAACGAGUUAAUAGGUCGAAUACAAGUUUAUAUUUUAGUUAAGAUAAUUAAGAGUUUAACUAGAAUUAAAAAAAAAUAAGAAGCACAUUGAAUCGUCGAUGAAUUGAUUUGAUUCUAAAUCCAAACUCAAGAGAGUAGGAACAUAAUCCAUUGGAAACAACACUUUUAAGUUGUUUAAAUUUUUGAGAAAGAAAAACACUUUCAACCUUUUUUUUAAUCCCCACUCUAUCCACCAACCUACUCGUUGCUUUAUAAGUCAAAAUCGGGAAAUUAAAUAUUACACUAUUACUAAUUCGGUUAAAUUGGUUAAUUCGGUCAAAUGAAUAUUAUCGAUUUUUUGAUAUGUUUUUUUACUUGUUUUAACCAAAAAAAUAAAACAUAUAAAUUUCGGUUAAUUUGAUUAACCGGCCGAAUUAAUCGAAAUAUUUCGAUUUGGUUAAUGGUUAAAGAUACUAAUUCGAUUCGGUUAACUGAUCGGUUAAUUGUUUGAGCACCCCUAAAAAUAAGUCAUGGGACCAACAUACUGACUUCCAUACAAUUGUUAGGUAUAUAUAGCAACUCAUAAGUAUGAGUAGAAUUAGUACGCAGUACCUUAGAUUCAUUGAGCCACAUUUCAAAGUUUCCCAUGAUCUCUUUUGCUGUCAAUGAUAUAAUAAACUUUUUGUAUUCACAAUUAUGUUCACAAUAUAAAACAUAAUUGGUCGACUUGAAUACAAUUAAAUGAGACACUCUAAUGUUCUUUCCUUUUCCUCAAAUCUCUCUAUUUCAAUUCAACUACUCUCUAGAUAUGUCCCGUUAGAUUGAAUCAUACAUGAUCAUCGAUAGCCUACUAAAAUAGCUAAUAUUGAUGUAAAACUUCAAGAAACAGUUAAAGGUCAUGAGGGUACUUAGUAUAGAUCUUCAGUUGAUCUCAUGGGUUUCACACAACAUAGAAGCAGAGAUCAAAUCUUCUAUUACCCAUUUUGUUCGUAUAAUACACAUGUAGUAUGAAACACAUGCUAUGGUAUUACUCUCACUUUCCUUGAAGUGUAUGUCUUUAUCAAAAAAUCAAUACCACAUAGGUGAUAAUUCAAAUACACUUAGUAUCUAACUCGAGUCCACAACUUUAUUUUCUUAAUAGAUUCAACAACAAGACUUUCACCUGGAAUAAAAGACAUAUAAAGUGAAAAAUUCAUAUUUAAAUUAUCAAACAUAAAUCAAAUUGAUUAUAAUUAUAUCAUUUUGCAUAUAGCUCAUGUCGUGCAAGUGCACACUUUAGCCCCAACAAGUUUGGACCUAUGCCCUUCAUGCAUGCAAGGCAAGAUUCCAAACAUAAUCAUUCAAUCAUCAUUUAUGUGGGUUCUCAUAUAUAUACACAUCUCACACUUGGUAUUUAACCAAUGUGGGAUCUAAGCUUUUCUUUUCCUCAACAAAUAUUCACAAGUAGCUUACUUUGAGCACCAAUUUCUCAUUCAUCACUCAACCAUUUUGAGCAUAUGAUAUACUGUUGUAAAGGUCUCAUGGAGUAGAAUAUAAAAUCAUAAUUUUAUGAUUCAACUCUCAACAUUUACCAAUUAAAAAUAUGCCUCAAAGUUCCCAUAAAUUACAAAUUUUCCAACAACUUUUGAAUGCAUUAAUCAUUAUCAACAUUAACUCAAGUGAGGACAAGAAUAUAUUAUUCAACUUGCAAUCCUAGAGUUUUGACAUUCCUUUAAAAAAUCUCUAGGAAUCGGUUUUGUAAACUGAUUUGCAAUCCUCUUAUGCAUAGACUUUCUCUCUUGUUGUGAGAUUUACCUUCACACUUAUUUUUUCCAAUAUACUAACUUUAGAUAUUUGGAGUUUGGAGUUGGUCAAACAGAUGUAAAAGCUACCUUUUCCAAAUGAAAAUCUGGAAUUUACACAGACAAAGUAGAUUUCAUUGACAAAGGUGAAAUGCAUAGUCUGGGCAAGUUAUGAAGAUCAAUUUUAUGAUCUUAAGCGAUUUUCCAGAUAGUGAUAUGCUAUUUUUUUUAAUUAAGAAACUGUUUAGUUUGAUUUAAUCAUAAUUGAUAAAGACCACUUUACUCAUGUUAAAAGAAGGAAAGAAAAUUUUGUAACUAUGUCAUUUUAUGUGGGUGACAUGUUGUUGGCCGCAAAUGAAUUAGUGCUUAUCAUUAUGGGUUAUGCAAGACUACAUGUCAAUUCAUACGAAUGUGUCCUUUUUUCAAUGUUGUGAGUAGCAUCAUAUAUGUUAUGAUGUACAUAAAGCAAAGUAUCUCUUGUAUAGUUGGAUUCAAGACACUCCAAUCCAAACUCAUUGCAAAACAAUGAAAAUGAUAUUGAGGUAUUGAAAAGACACUAUGGAUUUUCACCAUGCUAUCUAAUUGUGAAUACAAAUACCUAUUAAUUAAAAGGAGAUUUAGAUGAAAUAUUGAAAUCUAUCUCCACACAUGUGUUCGUAUUUGAUAAUGGAGUGAACUCUUAAAGUAGUAAGAAAUAAACUUGUAUAGCAUGGUCUAUUAUUGAUGCUGAAAUUGGCAUUUUUAGCGAUGGUUCAAGAGAGUGUUUGGGUUAAAAUAAUCACGAUUAAUAUAGUUACGUUAAAGCAAAAUAUCUUCUAUAGUUGGAUUCAACAUAGUCCAAUCCAAACUUAUUGCAAAACAAUGAAAAUGAUUUUGAGGUCUUUUAUUGUUCUCUCUUGUAUAGUUUGCAUCUCAAGGCACUUUCUUGUUGAUUACGAUGAACAAAAAACGGUUGCAAGCUCUGGGACGAGCAAGAUCAAUAUCUUUAGAGAUCAAAUGAUGGUUAGUAUACAAAUUUAAAAACUAGUUUUUAUAAUUUCAUUUUCAUAUAGUUUUUAUUUAUUUUUUAUUAUAAAUUUUAUGCUUUUUAUAAUAUUUUAUAUGUUUUAGUAUUUUUACAAUAUUUUAAUAACUUUCUAUCUUUUUAAAUAUUUAUUACCAUUUUUAUUUUUAAUUCAAAUAAUUUAUUUUUUUCCAAUUUUCUAUAUUUUAUAAUAUUUUUAAUAAUAUUUUAUAUAUUUAAAUAUUUUUUCAUAAUUUUAAUUUUUUUAAAUUUUUCAUAAUUUAUAUGUUUUUUUAAUUUUUAUUUUAGUACUUUUUAAUGCUUUUCACAAUUUUUAAUAAUUUUUAUAAUUUAUAUUUUUUUUUCGUUUAUAAUCAUUUUUAUAAUUUAUAUAUAUAUCUGCAAUUUUAUAUAUUUUAUAAUUUUUGCAAUUUUUAUAUUUUAUAAAAUAAUUUUGUAAUACUCCAAACUCGGCCUUAACGUUAUGACCAAAUCUAGAGAUGCUAUGAAGAUACAUUAAAAAAAAUCUAGAAUCUGUUGAUUUUAUAAAAUGAUACUUGCCCUUAUUUAGUAAAAUCUGAGUUUAUUUGAGAAAUUUAUCGUUUUGAUGGGUUUGUCAAUUAUUUACUCAUAAAACUAGUCGAAUCCAAUUUGAAAACACGAUUUUUUUUGUUGUUGUAAAAUCCAUUAUUCAACAAUUCAAUUUUCAACCCACCAACGAGGAAAUCACACAGGACUUCCUGCUAACCUACCAUCUUUUUUCAAGAGUUCAAACCCAAUCCAACACCACCAACUCGACAGCACAUUAAGGGCUAACAAAAAUAAAUUAGAGACUCAAACGAUAAAUUAACAUCUUAUCGUUGAACUAGUAAACUCAUUCUAUCACAAAUUGAUCAAAAAUAGUAUUUAAGUGGUAAGGAACAAGAUAAGGAUAAAAGACAAAAAUAAUAAAAUUUCUUAAAAAUGAGAUUUGAACCCUAAUCAGUAAAACAAAUACUUAUUCAUGACAUAAAUUAACAAAUUAAAAAUUCAUAUUUUUGGGUCUUAAAAGUUUUUAAUAAAUUAUAAUUACUUGAUUCCAGUUUCUUUAUUAUGCCCAAAUUUAAGAUUAAGCCCUAUAUUUUAAUUUUGACAUAAUUUGAUUUAUUUAUUUUUAUAAUGUCAUUAGUUAUCUUAAAUCGCUAACAUUAUUAGCUAUGCCAAGUAAAAUAACAUCGCGUAUUUUUUUUCUUAAAAUCAUCACUUCUAACUAAAUAAUGGCUUAAUCACUUUUUUAACUAAUUAUACUAACAUAGAUUUUUUUUAGUUGGAACGAGUAUGUUUAAGGAAAAAUCACCUCAACACUUUACUUGAAAUUAGUAAUCACAUUAAUUAUUUGGACUAACUAAAUCAUUACUGAAUCACCUUCUAACUAAUUAUAGUAAUGUAUAUAUUUAAGAAAAAGCUCACUUUAAUGUUUUAACUGAAAUUAUUAACCGUGUUAAUUACUUAAACUAACUAAUGAAAAAUAUUUCAAAUUAAUUUAUACUGAAUAACUCUCAAAUCCAAGUAUAAUAAAAUAAUAUGACUAACUCAAACUUGGCGUUGAAUUGAGUUUGGGAGUAAAAUAAUCACAUCACUCAUUGGCAAAGCAUGACUGUGAUUAUGAUAUGGUUUUUCGAAGUAUAACUAUGGUGGAGUUGAUAGCAUUGAUUAGAAUACCUUUAUAAAUGAAUAUAUAACAUUUAAUCAUGUAUAUAUUUUUAAUAAUUUAAUAACUUAAAAAAACACCACACUUUAUUAUAUAUGUAAAAUGUAAAUAGAAGCUACAUUCUUAUUUCAUGAAAUAACAUCAUAGAGAAUGUGAUGGCAGAGUUCAUUCUCAGUAAUAUAUGUGAUACUAAUUAGGAAUCAAACUGUCUUCAAUGGCUGGAUGGAGGUGGAGGUGGAGGUGGAGACAUGAAAGGAAUGGAAGGCAAGCUGCUACUGGGAAGUGGUGGAAGAACAGUGAUAGGCUUAGGCUAAGAUGGUGGGAUUGUUGGUAGCUUCGGGAUUCAAGGCAAUGGAGGUAUGCAGGGUUGAGCUGAGAAUGAUGGUAGAUCUAGGAUUGAAGGCAAUGGAAGUAUGUUGGGCAACUUACGAAGUGGUGGUAGUUCUAAGUUCUGGGAUUGAAGGAAAUGGUGGUGGUUCUGGGAUUAAAGGAAGUGGUGACAUCGGAGGUGGCAAUGGUACCGGUAAAUAUGCAGAUGGCAAUGGUACUGGUAAAAAUGGAGGUGGCAAUGGUAUUGGCGACAAUGGAGGUAGCAAUGGUACUGGUGACAAUGGUAUUGGCGACAAUGGAGGUGGCAAUGGUAUUGGUGGAAAUGGAGGUGGCACUUGCUGAAGAUUUCGGGUUGCUAGGCUAACCUCCAUGCUUGAAAAACCCAAGGAAAUGAAGCAGGCUAAUAAAAUGAAAACGUUGGAAGCUGCCAUUUUUUUUUGGAGAGAUGAACUAAAGAUUGAAGAUUUGAGUUGAGGAAAGCAGGAUUGGUUUCGGGUAUUUAUAGCCACAUUUGAAGGAGUUUUUUAAUUAUUUGUUUGAGAUAUUACUCCCCUACUUAGCUUACUACCUUC
rnacentral:lncRNA from 1 species